GUGGGCCGGGCCGCCAGUGUCAUCAUUGUUUGACUGCUCCAUGGAGACGAUGCUC
rnacentral:sRNA from 1 species